AGCUUUGUGCAGUGUCAUAGCCAAUGAGGUUUAUCCGAGGCUCAAUUAUUGCUAAUUGAAAAAAAAAUUAUUUCUAUGUUAUAUUUUUAAGCAACUGUGAAAGAGGCUGUUUUCUUAGCUUCCCUUUCUGAUAGUGCCUAAAAAUGCAACUGACUUCUGGAUAUUAAUUUUGUAU
rnacentral:snRNA from 1 species